rnacentral:rRNA from 1 species
UACAGAGGGUGCAAGCGUUGUUCGGAAUUAUUGGGCGUAAAGGGCGCGUAGGCGGUGCGGUAAGUCCGCAGUGAAAUCUCUGGGCUCACUCAGAGUCUGCUUGUGGAAACUGCCGUGCUUGAGUGUGGGGAGAGGUGAGUGGAAUUCCCGGUGUAGCGGUGAAAUGCGUAGAUAUCGGGGAGGAACACCUGUGGCGAAAA